ACGAACGCUGGCGGCGCGCCUAACACAUGCAAGUCGAACGAGCGAGAGAGAGCUUGCUUUCUUGAGCGAGUGGCGAACGGGUGAGUAACGCGUGAGGAACCUGCCUCAAAGAGGGGGACAACAGUUGGAAACGACUGCUAAUGCCGCAUAAGCCCACGACCCGGCAUCGGGUUGAGGGAAAAGGAGCAAUCCGCUUUGAGAUGGCCUCGCGUCCGAUUAGCUAGUUGGUGAGGUAACGGCCCACCAAGGCGACGAUCGGUAGCCGGACUGAGAGGUUGAACGGCCACAUUGGGACUGAGACACGGCCCAGACUCCUACGGGAGGCAGCAGUGGGGAAUAUUGCACAAUGGGGGAAACCCUGAUGCAGCGACGCCGCGUGGAGGAAGAAGGUCUUCGGAUUGUAAACUCCUGUUGUUGAGGAAGAUAAUGACGGUACUCAACAAGGAAGUGACGGCUAACUACGUG
rnacentral:rRNA from 1 species